rnacentral:rRNA from 1 species
CCCUUAGAUGUUCUGGGCCGCACGCGCGCUACACUGAUGCAUGCAACGAGUUCUAUCCUUGGCCGGAAGGCCUGGGUAAUCUGUGAACAUGCAUCGUGAUAGGGAUAGAUUAUUGCAAUUAUUAAUCUUGAACGAGGAAUUCCUAGUAAACGCAAGUCAUCAGCUUGCAUUGAUUACGUCCCUGCCCUUUGUACACACCGCCCGUCGCACCUACCGAUCGAAGGUAAUGAUGAGCCCUCAGGAUUGUGGCCUCGUCGCGUCAGCGUCUUGGCUGCGAGAAUCUGUGCAAAUCCCUACCUUUAGAGGAAGGUGAAGUCGUAACA